AGCAGUAGCCACGGGAACACGUAGGGUGCAAGCGUUAAUCGGAAUUACUGGGCGUAAAGCGUGCGCAGGCGGUUAUAUAAGUCAGAUGUGAAAUCCCCGGGCUCAACCUGGGAACUGCAUUUGAGACUGUAUGGCUAGAGUGUGUCAGAGGGGGGUAGAAUUCCACGUGUAGCAGUGAAAUGCGUAGAUAUGUGGAGGAAUACCGAUGGCGAAGGCAGCCCCCUGGGAUAACACUGACGCUCAUGUACGAAAGCGUGGGGAGCAAACAGGAUUAGAUACCCCGGUAGUCCCUGUCUCUUAUAC
rnacentral:rRNA from 1 species